rnacentral:sRNA from 1 species
UUGCGCAAUCGAUGCUUCGCUGAGCAAUCUUCGCAAUCCGCUGCCGGGAACUCCCCCGUAUGAUCUCUCCCAGAUUCACGGCCCGGACACUCGCGUCCACGGCGAUCCGCCCAAUCAGGCGCAUCGCGGCCCGCCGACCCCACAGGGUCGCGCCGGCCCCCGGGCUACGCACCGCCCAGAAGGUGGAGCGAGGUGAGCCGGCGCUAACCGCGACGAGCCUGGACGAGUUUCCCGAGGGGAGGUCUC